rnacentral:lncRNA from 13 species
UUCUGUUCCAAUAUCCAAUAUUCAAUGACUAAACCAUGAGACAAAAUCAUGUAAUCCAUCUGAGUAGGAUAGGUAUUCAUUCCUGUGCUAGUGUCCAUUCAAGUCUUGUCAGACUUGAGAGCUAUCCGGACCCUUAUGUUAGAGCCCCACUAAAUAGCGGCCUCUCCCUCAACAUGUAAGGCCUAAUAACUAGGUUAGAAUAUGGAGUAAAACUCCCAGGAAACCUGGGAAGGGAGUCAGGACAAGAACCACAUGGCCUGGUGCCUAGAUCUGCUCUUCUCCAAGACCUUAGGAGUAAGCUUUUUUUUCUUCUCUCCUUAGGCAUGAAUCCCUAAGGUCUGGCUGGAAUACUGCAAGACUACUUGAUAUCAUAAUAAAACAUGAUAUAUAUAAUGCUGAUAAGAGUAGAAAUGGGAAGACUGGGUUGUGCAGAAACCAAGGAGGAGAUGCUUGAUGAGGGCAUGGAGGCCUAUUUAUUUGAUAUCAUAAUAAAAUACUGCAGAUAUGAUGUGGAGUGAAAAGAGUAAAAAUGGGAAGACUUGGCUGUGCAGAAACUGAGUUCUUAAAAAGAGGAAAUGCUUGAUGAGGUUGUAUGGAUUACAUGUCAGUCCGAUGGAAAUCAAAAGAUUGGAUCCGUAAGGUCUAUCUCCAGUACUAUGAGACCAUUUGAUACCAUGGUAAAACACGCAGAUACAAUGCUGAAUGGACAAGAAGAAACUGGAAGACUUGGUGAUGUGGAAACUGAGUUCUUGAAACGAGGAUACACUUGACGAGGGUGAGUGGAUUAGAUCUCAGUUUAAUAUCCAAUGGAAACCAAAAGGAAAAUGCUAAGACUGGAAUACGUUUAUGCAAGUUAAGCAAAAUAUUAGAUGAUAGUUUUAGUUUCUGGUGUGUUUGUCCCUUCAUGGAGCUUUUUUUAACCGUGAUGGGCGGGAGAGGAGCGCCUAGAGCAAAGCUACUUAGCUUUUCUCGCACAAUACUGCCAUCGUGCGGAAAUAGUUUCAUAGUAUCCAAAACCCGUGAGCAUUUUCUCCAUAAGCCCUAGCAGUUGCAAAAGGAAAAAGCCAGUGGAGGCUGAACAGGCCCGAGACUUAAGUUGGUCUUCCUACCGUUUUCUCUGAGGCCUGGCAGAAGCAAUGGACAAAUGUAGUCUUAGUGAAGUAUCUGGUGAGUGAGGGACCAGGACUGAGUCAGCUGCUUCUAAGAAGCAAAAAUGUAACGAAAAGCCUAAGCAGUUAUCUAAGCCCACAAGCCAGCAUAAGUCUUAUAAAGUUAUACAGAAAAGGGACUUUAUAAGUUCAUGGGAAAGUCUUUUCUCAUAGUAGGAUGUUGAUGGUAAUCUCAUUUCUCUUAGAGGGUAGAUAGGUGCCUCUUUUCCGCUUGACAUUCCCUGAGAAGGAUGGCAUUGUUUAGUCCUGGGCAAACCAAUAUUUACCUCAUCCCAGCAAGUGUUCUGUGUACCAGCUUCAAAGCUAGUUCUUCACGAAGAUAUCCAUCCUUAGGUGUGGAGACCUCCAGAUAUUCCAUGACUCCUAACUGAAGAAUCAGCAAGGGUGACUAAAAUUGUAUGGGUGAUUUUUCCCCCAUGACAUUCUUCUUCAGUGUUUAUUAUCUCAGUAUCUGAAUCUUUUAAAAAAGGAUGUAAUGUGAGUCUGCUACUGUAGUGUGACCUUCCAGCACUUCAAGAGCUUCUUCAGGUAGGACUUUUCCUGGCCUCUGAGGAUUCAGGCAGGCAUUCCAGGGUAAGGGGCCUGGCUUUUGUGAUAUUCUUGACUGUGCCUAGCUCUCCCUCAAGCUGGUUACAGAUGAGGUGAGUGAUGGUGUGUAGACAUAGAUGCUAUUGGCAUUCAGGAGUGUCUUAAAGAUUUGGCCAGGCCUGGUGGCUCAUGCCUGUAAUCCUAGAAUUUUGGGUGGCUGACGCAGGUGGAUUGCUUGAGCUCAGGAGUUUGAGACCAGCCUGAGUAACAUGGUGAGACCCUGUCUUUACAAAAAUCCCCCCCAAAUUAGCUGGGCACAGUGGUGCCAGCCUAUAGUCCUAGCUACUUAGGAGGCUGACUGCUUGAGCCCCAGAGGUCUAGGUUGCAGUGAGCAACACUGCACUUCAGCCUGGGACACCAAGAGAAGAAAGAAAGGAAGAAAGAGAAAGAAAGGGAUGGGGGGAAGAGAGAGAGAGAAAAGAAAGAAAGAAGGAAGGAAGGAAGGAAAGAAAGAAAGAGAAAGAAAAAGAAAGAAAGAGUCUUAAAGACCCUCUGGGAAGCAUUUCUUAAUCACCUUCAUUCCUGGAAAUUACAAAAUGACAUCAAAGCUCCCCACGCUAUUUCCCCUAAAGUAGACUUAGACAUGUGCUAGAUCAGGCGUCUCCAGUUCUCAGGCCAUGAAUCUGUUCUGUUCUGGGUCCUGUUAGGAACUGGGCUGCACAGCAGGAGGUGAGCGUGGAGCAGGCAAAGGUUCACUUGUAUUUAAAGCCACUCCCCAUCGCUUGCAUUAUUGCCUGAGUUCCACCUCUUGUCAGCAUUGUCAGCGUUAGAUUCUCAUAGAAGUGUGAAUCCUAUUGUGAACUGUUCAUGCAAGGAUCCAUGUUGGGCACCCCUUAUGAAAAUCUAAUGCCUGAUGAUCUGUCACUGUCUCUUAUGACCCCCCAGAUGAGAUCAUCUAUUUGAAGCAUAACAAGGCUCAGGGCGCCUACUGAUUCUACAUUAUGGUGAGUUGUAUAAUUAUUUCAUUAUAUAUUACAGUGUAAUAACAAUAGAAAUAAAGUGUACAGUUAAUAUAGUGGGCUUGAAUCU